AUGGUUAAGUUAGAAAGGGCGCACGGUGGAUGCCUUGGCACUAGGAGCCGAUGAAGGACGGGACUAACACCGAUAUGCUUCGGGGAGCUGUAAGUAAGCUUUGAUCCGGAGAUUUCCGAAUGGGGGAACCCACUAUUCGUAAUGGAAUAGGAUUCAUAUCUG
rnacentral:rRNA from 1 species